GACGAACGCUGGCGGCGUGCUUAACACAUGCAAGUCGAGCGGUAAGGCCCUUUCGGGGGUACACGAGCGGCGAACGGGUGAGUAACACGUGGGUGACCUGCCCUUAGCUCUGGGAUAAGCCUGGGAAACUGGGUCUAAUACCGGAUAUGACUCCAUGACGCAUGUUGUGGGGUGGAAAGCCUUGUGCGGCUAGGGAUGGGCCUGCGGCCUAUCAGCUUGUUGGUGGGGUGANGGCCUACCAAGGCGGCGACGGGUAGCCGGCCUGAGAGGGCGACCGGCCACACUGGGACUGAGACACGGCCCAGACCCCUACGGGAGGCAGCAGUGGGGAAUCUUGCGCAAUGGGCGAAAGCCUGACGCAGCGACGCCGCGUGGGGAUGACGGCCGU
rnacentral:rRNA from 1 species